UAAAUUUACAACAAAUGAGGAGCUCAACCACAGAGACAUUUCUAUCUCUGUUUGUGUAUAUAUCCACACCAGACACAACCCAAUUAUUGUUUUUACUAACAUGGAAACCCAGGCACUGCUAUGCAUAGAAAAGAAACAUUCACCUGGUACUUUUAUCUUUCCUUUCUUCCUUAUAGAAAACCCAGAGCUUAGGCACCACCUUCUUGAUCCUGAUAAGAACCUGAUGUGGACCAAUGAUUCUGAAACCAUCCUUAGCCCGUGUUCAUCAUCAUCUAGUAUAAGCCAAGAAAGUACCCACCACUUUCUGGAGAAAGAGGUGACCUUAUAUGCCAUCCAUGUACUUUGGUCCACUGAAGACACUGUGGAAGCCAAAAGGUGGACCUAAACCAUUCCCUCAACAGGUCUGUAGCAGUCUCCAGUGUUCAGAGCAAUGGAGUCCGGAUGAGAAGCAAGUCCCUGUGCAUCUAUGGCUCACCAGGAUCCAGCUCUUGAAGGGUGACGACCACAAUUCCACCUGAAAAUUCCACUUUGACAUCUAACCUCUCCUCUGAUGUUCCUGACUUCGCUCUGCACUUCUUUAAUUGCAACAACUAUGCAAAUGAAAACGAUUGUGAAGGUUUUGGUCGGACAGGGUGCUGACAGCACAUUGUGUCCAUCUGAAUCCGUAUGUUGGAGGUUUCCAGCGGUGACACCUCCCCCAUUACAGACACACAAGGUAUAUCCAGUGACAAAGAAGCAAAAAGGAUCCAAGAGAAAGAAAUCAGAAAAUUUGAAUACAGAGGGAGGAAAGAAUUUAAGUUGUUACAAAGGCCCACAGUUUAAUCCAGUUGGAAAUCUAGAAUUUGGUAAAAGAAUUUAUACUCUGGUGCCUGACCAGGGAUCAAACCUAGGCACCCUAUAUAGGGAAGUACAUCAUGAGAAACACUGGGCUGGAUGAAGCACAAGCUGGAAUCAAGAUUGCUGGGAGAAAAAUUAAUAACCUCAGAUAUGCAGAUGACACCACCCUUAUGGCAGAAAGCGAAGAAUUAAAGAGCCUCUUGAUGAAAGUGAAAGAGGAGAGUGAAAAAGUUAAAGCUCAACAUUCAGAAAACUAAGAUCAUGGCAUCUGGCCCAUCAUUUCAUGGCAAAUAGAUGGGGAAACAGUGAGAGACUUUAUUUUUGUGGGCUCCAAAAUCACUGCAAAUGGUGACUGCAGCCAUGAAAUUAAAAGACACUUGCUCCUUGGAAGAAAAGCUAUGACAAACCCACACAGCUUAUUAAAAAGCAGAGGCAUUACUUUGCCAACAAAGGUCCGUCUAGUCAAAGCUAUGAUUUUUCCAGUAGUCAUGUAUGGAUGUGAGAGUUGGACUAUAAAGAAAGCUGAGCACAGAAGAAUCGAUGCUUUUGAACUGUGGUGUUGGAGAAGACUCUUGAGAGUCCCUUGGACUGCAAGGAGAUCGAACCAGUCAAUCCUAAAGGAAAUCAGUCCUGAAAAUUCAUUGGAAGGACUUAUGCUGAAGCUGAAACUCCGAUACUUUGGCUACCUGAUGUGAAGAACUGACUCAUUUGAAAAGACCCUGAUGCUGGGAAAGAUUGAAGGCAGGAGGAGAAGGGGAAAAGGGGACAACAGAGGAUGAGAUGGUUGGAUGGCAUCAGCGACUCAAUGGACAUGAGUCUGAGUAAACUCCGGGAGUUGGUGACAGAAAGGGAGGCCUGGCGUGCUGCAGUCCAUGGGGUCAAAAAAGAGUCGGACAUGACUAACUGAACUGAACUGAACUGGAUGAAGAAGGAAAUGCAAGAACACCUUUAGACUUUGUUUAGACAGAACACAGCAUAGCAGGCACUAAGUCUCAAGCUGUUGUUGUUGUGUGUGUGUGUGUGUGUGUGUGUGUGUGUGUGUGUGUUGGGGAGGCCAGUAGGUGGGACAGUUGCAUAUGAAUGGAGUGUGUGGCAGGUUUGGGGAAAGCAGAGAACAAACAUGAACACUCUGGUACAGGUAUCCUAGGACGUAGGUUCUCUGCCUGGCCUACAACUGCAGCAUCAUCUGGAGAGGAAGGAUGCUCAGCCCCAAAGAGCAGGAGAAGAGGAUGGCCAGCAUCUGCCAGGGGCCUGUAAGUACUGCAAGGGCAAGGUUAAAAUUGCCGGGGUGUCACUCUGGGAUAAAAGAGGACCUGAGAAGAUAUUCGCAACUUGAAUGUGAAAGAGAGUGAAGCUCUAGGAUUCAAGGAGUGAGCAUUACUGGGUUACAUUGUGAAUUGCAUUUAAUGGAAGAAAGUGAGAGGCAGCAGGAGAAUGAGAGCUGAAACUGGACACAGAUGAGUAGAGUAGUAAGGAGAAAGGAUGAGGGAUGAGGAUAAAGAACAGUGAGAAUGUGAAAGAAAGUGCUGCCAAGAAAAGUGGUAGUUUCAUGUCAACAGUCCUUGAAACCCAUUCAAACCAGUGCAUACUCCACAGGCAAGUUGAGCCCAAGCCCAUCCCCUGGUCUGUGAGGUAAUCAGUGGCAAGAAGGAUCCAGGCAGUGGCACUUACCCCGUGAGAGUCACCUCUCCUCCCACCUCUCCCUCUCUUCAGGCAGGACUUUGGGGAAUUUGGUUCAACGGCCUCAGAGUUUGGGGACUCCUAGAUCUCCCUGUGCAUGCUCACACCAGACUGAAUCGAGUCUUUGUGUCACAGGUGAAGUAGUGUCUAAGACUAAUCCAUUCUUCCUCUUCCCCAACAAGUUCACCAGCAGACGCCUUAACAACUUUGUCCCAUUCAGGUUCAGUUAGCACAUUUAAUGUUCUUUGAGAAGGGGCAGUGAGAAGAAGAGGAGGAGGUGCCAGGGUGAAGCUUGCACAGCUUCUUCCCACUGGGCCAGAGACCUGGAAGCCAGAGUGUUGUGAACAGCAGCUGCUUGAGGGCUUAUACUUUGCAU
ensembl:lncRNA